rnacentral:rRNA from 1 species
AGAGUUUGAUCCUGGCUCAGGAUGAACGCUAGCGGCAGGCUUAACACAUGCAAGUCGAGGGGCAGCACGGGUAGCAAUACCUGGUGGCGACCGGCGGAAGGGUGCGUAACGCGUGAGCAACAUGCCCUAUACAGGGGAAUAAACCAGGGAAACUUGGUCUAAUGCCCCAUAGCAAUAAGAUAAGGCAUCUUAUUUUAUUUAAAGCUUCGGUGGUAUAGGAUUGGCUCGUGUGACAUUAGCUGGAUGGUGGGGUAACGGCCCACCAUGGCGAUGAUGUCUAGGGGUUCUGAGAGGAAGACCCCCCACACUGGGACUGAGACACGGCCCAGACUCCUACGGGAGGCAGCAGUGAGGAAUAUUGGACAAUGGAUGGAAAUCUGAUCCAGCCAUGCCGCGUGCAGGAAGACGGCCCUAUGGGUUGUAAACUGCUUUUCUACGGGAGCAAUAAGGUCUACGCGUAGACUGAUGAGAGUACCGUAGGAAUAAGCAUCGGGCUAACUCCGUGCCAGCAGCCGCGGUAAUACGGAGGAUGCGAGCGUUAUCCGGAUUUAUUGGGUUUAAAGGGUGCGUAGGCGGCUUUUUAAGUCAGCGGUGAAAUUUUGCAGCUUAACUGUAACAGUGCCGCUGAUACUGGGGAGGCUUAAGGAUUUUGGUUUGCUGUGGGUGGAAAUGUGUGGGGUAGCCGGUGAAAGCUUAGGAUCACCACAGAUAUCGAUUUGCGAAGGUAUCACAAAGCCAAGAUUGAGCUGAGGCACGAAAAGGUGGGUCAAACAGGAUUAGAUACCCUGGUAGUCCCACACUGUAAACGAUGAUAACUCGCUGUCGGGCGAUACACAGUCGGUGGCCAAGCGAAAGCGAUAAGUUAUCCACCUGGGGAGUACGACCGCAAGGUUGAAAACUCAAAGGAAUUGACGGGGGCCCGCACAAGCGGAGGAACAUGUGGUUUAAUUCGAUGAUACGCGAGGAACCUUACCCGGGCUCGAACGGUGCAUGAAUGGACAAGAGAUUGUUCAGACCUUAGGGACAUGUAUCGAGGUGCUGCAUGGUUGUCGUCAGCUCGUGCCGUGAGGUGUCGGCUUAAGUGCCAUAACGAGCGCAACCCUUGUCAUUAGUUACCAUCAGGUAGAGCUGGGGACUCUAAUGAGACUGCCACCGUAAGGUGAGAGGAAGGGGGGGAUGACGUCAAAUCAGCACGGCCCUUAUGUCCGGGGCGACACACGUGUUACAAUGGGGGGCACAGAGGGCAGCCAUCCGGCGACGGAGCGCCAAUCUCAAAAACCCUUCUCAGUUCGGAUUGGAGUCUGCAACUCGACUCCAUGAAGUUGGAUUCGCUAGUAAUCGCGCAUCAGCCAUGGCGCGGUGAAUACGUUCCCGGGCCUUGUACACACCGCCCGUCAAGCCAUGGAAGCUUGGGGUGCCUGAAGUUCGUGACCGCAAGGAGCGACCUAGGGCAAAACAAGUAACUGGGGCUAAGUCGUAACAAGGUAACC